GAUGAACGCUAGCGGCAGGCUUAAUACAUGCAAGUCGAGGGGCAGCAGGGUGGUAGCAAUACCAUUGCUGGCGACCGGCAAACGGGUGCGGAACACGUACGCAACUUACCCUGAACUGGGGGAUAGCCCGGCGAAAGCCGGAUUAGUACCCCGUAAUACUAAGAGGUGGCAUCACCCUUUAGUUAUAGCUUUAUUGUGGUUCAGGAUGGGCGUGCGGCUGAUUAGGUAGUUGGUUGGGGUAAUGGCCCACCAAGCCUACGAUCAGUAACUGGGGUGAGAGCACGACCAGUCACACGGGAACUGAGACACGGGCCCGACUCCUACGGGGGGCAGCAGUAAGGAAUAUUGGGCAAUGGAGGCAACUCUGACCCAGCCAUGCCGCGUGGAGGAUGAAGGCCCUCUGGGUUGUAAACUUCUUUUACCUGGGACGAAACCUCCUUUUUCUAAGGGAGUUGACGGUACCAGGGGAAUAAGCACCGGCUAACUCCGUGCCAGCCGCCGCGGUAACAC
rnacentral:rRNA from 1 species